ACGAGUCUUUGUAAGAUGCGCUCACCUUGCUCUCUAUCCCCUUGCAUGAUUCUUAAAUACUGCUGUUAGAUUUUCACCUUAUUGGAUAUCUUAUCUUGCCCCGCUGUCUUAGCAGGCUUUACAGUUUCACAAGGAGACUCAAAAUGAGGAGCGUGAGAGUAUGGAUUCGAAACUUUGAAUGUUGGUUCUAGAGCAUAAUGUUAGGCAUCGAGGAAUUUGAACACAGCCUCGUUAGCAGAUCGAGGAAAAGUAGCUGGAGGAGGAGCUACAAGAGCAUGAG
rnacentral:lncRNA from 1 species